CCGGCGACCGGCGCACGGGUGAGUAACACGUAUGCGACCUGCCCCCCGCAGGGGGAUAACCGGGAGAAAUCCCGACUAAUACCGCGUGGUACACCAGUGGGGCAUCCCACUGGUGUUAAAAGGAAGUGAUUCCGGCGGAGGAUGGGCAUGCGGCGCAUUAGCUUGUUGGCGGGGUAACGGCCCACCAAGGCGACGAUGCGUAGGGGUUCUGAGAGGAAGGUCCCCCACACUGGUACUGAGACACGGACCAGACUCCUACGGAAGGCAGCAG
rnacentral:rRNA from 1 species